UACGGAGGUGGCAAGCGUUGCUCGGAAUCACUGGGCGUAAAGGGCGCGUAGGCGGCCUUGCAAGUCGGAUGUGAAAUCCCACGGCUCAACCGUGGACGUGCAUCCGAAACUGCUCGGCUCGAGUAUGGAAGAGGGUCGCGGAAUUCCCGGUGUAGAGGUGAAAUUCGUAGAUAUCGGGAGGAACACCAGUGGCGAAGGCGGCGACCUGGGCCAAUACUGACGCUGAGGUGCGAAAGCGUGGGGAGCAAACAGG
rnacentral:rRNA from 1 species